UCAAGUGGAUUAGGUAUCCAUCAUUUGCUUGUUGCAAAGGGAAAGCAAACCUAAAAUACGCAUUAUCCUUUCCUUUCAGGACAAUUACAUUGCAGUAUCUAAAACUACAACAGCAACUCAAUUUCAUCUCUCCAUUCAGAGCCUAGUGCAACGGGAAUCUGACUUAGAAGGGACCUCUGUGUAAUUUAAACACAUGAUCCAGCUAGGAGAUUCAUGAGAAGUGAUGAGGUGAAACAAACCAGUGUUCAGCUGGACUUGAAAACAAUGAAGGAUGUGAAGGAUGAGAAGAGGCUGGCAGCCCGUCACAGGGAGCCUUUAUGGCUAUCUUUGUGAGACAUGAGGCUGCCUGAACAAUGUGGAGAGUGAGUGCACUCUGGGUACCUGCAAUCAUUUUUUGUGGCUGGAUCUUCAAUCAUUGUGAACAUCGAAGCUGUAUUAGUUUAUACCAGCUCGGAAGUGAGUAAACUGAUCUCUAGUCAUAAUGUCUUAGCUAUAUCUCAUACUAACACAGCUCACAGGCUUCUCAGUCUCUCUACAUUGCCUCUCAAUGAAACAUGAUCUGGUGGUUGCAGUCAUGCUGGGUAUACCCAAGCAGAAAGAGCAUCUGUCACUCUGGGGUGUGGAAAUGAUCUGCUUUUGUGCUGACCUGUAGGAAUCUAUGUGAGUAUGAUUCAGGGUCUAGAAAAGCCCAAUUUUUCCCAGAAGAUCUAGGUAGGAAAUGUGGAGAAGUGUUUCCCCAGCACAUAUCAGUCACUUCUCUUCCAGAAAUGAGGGCACAGUACCCAUAAAAACUG
rnacentral:lncRNA from 1 species